rnacentral:rRNA from 1 species
AACCUCCGCAAUGUGAGAAAUCGCGACGGGGGGAUCCCAAGUGCCAUUCUUAACGGGAUGGCUUUUCAUUAGUGUAAAGAGCUUUUGGAAUAAGAGCUGGGCAAGACCGGUGCCAGCCGCCGCGGUAACACCGGCAGCUCUAGUGGUAGCAAUUUUUAUUGGGCCUAAAGCGUCCGUAGCCGGUUUAAUAAGUCUCUGGUGAAAUCCUGUAGCUUAACUGUGGGAAUUGCUGGAGAUACUAUUAGACUUGAGACCGGGAGAGGUUAGAGGUACUCCCAGGGUAGAGGUGAAAUUCUGUAAUCCUGGGAGGACCGCCUGUUGCGAAGGCGUCUAACUGGAACGGUUCUGACGGUGAGGGACGAAGGUUAGGGGCGCGAACCGGAUUAGAUACCCGGGUAGUCCUAACUGUAACGAUGCGGACUUGGUGUUGGGGUGGCUUUGAGCUGCUUCAGUGCCGAAGGAAGCUGUUAAGUCCGCCGCCUGGGAAGUACGGUCGCAAGACUGAAACUUAAAGGAAUU